rnacentral:rRNA from 1 species
CUCUUCCAGUGCAGAUAUAGUGCCCGAGUUUGGAACAAAAUCAUCGCUUGGCUUGGCAUUCAUGGCCAAUCGACGACGGCUUGGCGUCAGGAGAUCUCUGUCCAGGAUUGGUGGCUCAAGACGAUCAACUCUGGAGGCCACUUCAAGAAGGCCAUUGCCUCCGUUAUGAUGCUUGUCUUAUGGGAAAUUUGGAAGGAGCGAAAUGCGAGAGUCUUCCGCAACACGGUCACCCCGACCACUGUCAUUGUCGCGAAGAUCAAAGAGGAGGCCCGCCUUUGGUCGUUGGCUGGAACGAGCCACCUGAGUAAUCUUAUGUCGCGAGAGUAG